rnacentral:rRNA from 1 species
UACGUAGGGUGCAAGCGUUAAUCGGAAUUACUGGGCGUAAAGCGUGCGCAGGCGGUUCUAUAAGACAGAUGGGAAAUCCCCGGGCUCAACCUGGGAACUGCAUUUGUGACUGUAGAGCUGGAGUGCGGCAGAGGGGGAUGGAAUUCCGCGUGUAGCAGUGAAAUGCGUAGAUAUGCGGAGGAACACCGAUGGCGAAGGCAGGUCUCUGGGCUGACACUGACGCUCAUGCACGAAAGCGUGGGGAGCAAACAGG